AACGUAGGUUCCGAGCGUUAUCCGGAUUUACUGGGCGUAAAGCGCGUUCAGGCGGUUCGGCAAGUCGGGCAUGAAAUCUCUCGGCUCAACCGGGAGAGGUUGUCCGAUACUGCUGGACUUGAGGGCAGUAGAGGGUGGUGGAAUUCCGGGUGUAGUGGUGAAAUGCGUAGAUAUCCGGAGGAACACCAGUGGCGAAAGCGGCCACCUGGACUGUACCUGACGCUCAAACGCGAAAGCUAGGGGAGCGAACAGG
rnacentral:rRNA from 1 species